CGAAAAGACAGUGAUGCAGAGCAAAUACCCCAAAACGCAGUCUUAGUUCGGAUUGUAGGCUGCAACUCGCCUACAUGAAGUCGGAAUUGCUAGUAAUCGCGGAUCAGCAUGCCGCGGUGAAUACGUUCCCGGGCCUUGUACACACCGCCCGUCACACCAUGGGAGUCGGUAACACCCGAAGCCUGUAGUCUAACCGCAAGGAGGACGCAGUCGAAGGUGGGAUUGAUGACUGGGGUGAAGUCGUAACAAGGUACC
rnacentral:rRNA from 1 species